GAAUACGACAAAGUUGAUUACGAUGUUCUUGUACUAGAACGGGACCAGGAAAGAGAAACAUUGUACUUGCAAUGUACUUGCCCCUCCCUACCACUUGGAAUGGGCAAUUCCAAUACCUCCGACCGAGACGGAGGGUUUCAUACUCGAAUGGAAAAAACGUUAACCAAGAUAUCUUUACACCGUCGCCGCAGUACCAUGGCUUCGUGUUAGUACACAGUACAAGACUUUAGGUAACACAAAUAUGUAGUACACUUUCGUUUGAAUCCUCGCGUAGUACAAGUACAUAUGAGCGAACUGAUUAUCCCUCCCUGAUCCGGAAUCUAUAAAACCUGGAAGACAUGCCCAGAAACAGAGAAGGCCGAGUUCUCUCAUUGUCCAUUUUCAGACAAUGUAAAAGGGCCCUAUUAUGCGGAGCUGCAGUGGCAUCCAUUUCUUGCUGCCAGACAAGAGAAGGGCAUCGAUGAAGAUAACCAGAUCCUCUCCUAUGGCAUGGCGAUUCAUGAAUGCAUGAUCUGUGACACGCCCUUUUGGAAAGUUGUUCGCUCCGUUCUGGUUCCACUGCCAAUCCUGCUCAAGGACAAAUUUCUUUGUGUGUAUAUAAAAACUUGGGAGAGAGGAAAGACUGAGAGCCCGCUUUCAGAAACCUAAAUCUUUUACUUGAUAUGUACCUGAUCAGAUGGCAGUUUCCAUUGACAGAUUCAAAUUCUUGAGCGCUCUGGCUUUGUUCAGCCAUUUCCAGCAUGUCCAUAUCCUCAGAAAACUCAGACACCAUGGGUUUCAGUCCGUCAAUCUCCUGCCACAGAUGUAAGUAAACCAAUAUGAGAACUCCAGAACAAAUGCAAA